rnacentral:misc_RNA from 1 species
GAUGAAGAACGCAGCGAAAUGCGAUAAGUAAUGUGAAUUGCAGAAUUCAGUGAAUCAUCGAAUCUUUGAACGCACAUUGCGCCCCCUGGUAUUCCGGGGGGCAUGCCCGUUCGAGCGUCAUUUCACCACUCAAGCCUCGCUUGGUAUUGGGCAACGCGGUCCGCCGCGUGCCUCAAAUCGUCCGGCUGGGUCUUCUGUCCCCUAAGCGUUGUGGAAACUAUUCGCUAAAGGGUGUUCGGGAGGCUACGCCGUAAAACAACCCCAUUUCUAAGGUUGACCUCGGAUCAGGUAGGGAUACCCGCUGAACUUAAGCAUAUCAAUAAGCGGAGGA